CAGUCGCCGCGGGAAUACGAAGGGUGCAAGCGUUACUCGGAAUUACUGGGCGUAAAGCGUGCGUAGGUGGUGGUUUAAGUCCGUUGUGAAAGCCCUGGGCUCAACCUGGGAAUUGCAGUGGAUACUGGGUCACUAGAGUGUGGUAGAGGAUAGUGGAAUUUCCGGUGUAGCAGUGAAAUGCGUAGAGAUCGGAAGGAACAUCUGUGGCGAAGGCGACUAUCUGGGCCAACACUGACACUGAGGCACGAAAGCGUGGGGAGCAAACAGGAUUAGAUACCCCCGUAGUCCCUGUCUAUUAUAC
rnacentral:rRNA from 1 species